UAAUAUUAUUUGCUAACACCAUUCAGCAUGUUUUUUUUAAAUAUUCACAAUUAAAUAUAAUAUGCUAAGGGUGCUGUGUAUUAUUCAAUAAAUACAUAUAUGUUGGUGUUGAAAUCAGUAGAUAUUUCUCAGAUUUAGUAAUUGGCUGACACACAUAAGAGAUUAGCCCCCCCCCCCCCCCCCCAAUUAAAUCAUAAACAUUAAUUCUUAUCACAGUAUCAGUGCUCCAUCUAUAGGCCUAACAAAGGGGUGUUGAUAGACUUUUGAUUGGCUGAGCCACCAUCUAUUUGAAAACAAGCGACUUUGAUUGGCUGGAGACAGGAAGUUAUGUUUUGAAAACAAAGGGGGUUUUCAUCAACUGACUUUGAGCUUUAAGGUAUAAUUGAGUAACAUUAAGACUUAUAAUUCUAGUUUAAAAUGUCUUGAAUAACUUUCAGCAUGAAGUAUUGUGUGGUGAAACAAUGUGUAUGUACUACAAUGUGUAAAUCAACAAUAAGUUUGUUGCAAAGGAGAUUCAAAGUGGAUGGUUAAAGUGAUAUGGUCUCAUAAUUCAUCAACUGCCUGUUAUCUUGGAAUACUGAAGAACAGUUGUUUUAGGUUAAACUCCCAAGGUGAAAUUUACAUUGAUUGGAAGAUUCUUUGGAUAGAAUAUUCCUGCCAAAAGACAGCAGAAGGGGGACUAACUGAUGUAUGGAUUUUGACACCAGAGUUUACCCUGCACGAGCAGCCCAACUUGAGUAGAUCAGGAGUGGGAAAACCGAGCCCUGUCCUUGACCAAGGAAAGUUGGAUUUGUUGAGAGGACCUGAUCUCAAAUGAGAUCAUGCACAGGACGCACCUCGCAAAGACCAUGACAGUAUAGUUUUCAGACCUGAUCAGCUGGUGACUGCUCUAUGAAGUGCUGUUCAACCUCCCCUAAGGGGGAGAUUCGAGAGGGUCUCCUGAUUGCUGAACACUACGCCAUGGUUGUUGUCAUCUCCAAAAAGUUUGCCCUGCCCAUAUCAACAGUGGAAGAGAACAUGAGAUGGGCCUUGAGGAGGCUUCGUGUCAUGUACUGCGGGGAGAAUAUAUAAACUGUUAAGUGCUGAGCAAUAUGUUCCUUUGUUCAUAGGUGUAAAUAUGUGUAAAGGGCUAUUCCAGGAAAAGAUAGGAUGAAGGAUUCCUUAAUGUUGUCAUUUUAUAAAUCCGGUACCACCAACACAGUUAAAAACAAUUAUUAUUAAUUUUAUCCUCUGUAUCACCCCUCACUAACUGAAACUGUAUAUAAUCAUGGUUCAUACCCUUCCUCCCAUUUUUACCUGUGGUAGCCCAAAGAGGAGAAUGUUAUUUAUUUUAAUAUAUUAUGUUAAAUGUGCUCGCAUAUUGUGAUAAUGUAUCUUGGGUAGAUGUUUUCCUGGUUUUGUUAAAAAUGCACUGUAAAAAUGUUCACAUUAUUUGUUUUUUUUAAUAUAAACAUUGUUUUUUGCAAAUUGUGUGUGUCUUUUAUUUAUAAUCACAUGGGGCUUGUAAUGAUCUGUUGUGAUUUUAUCUCAAAUAACCUUUUUACCAUUAAGGUGUAAAUAUUUUUUUUUACAAAGGUUACAGGUCAAACAAGCAAAAUUUUAUGAUCCCUUAAGCGAACAAAAGACUCACAAAAACC